UACAGAGGGUGCAAACGUUGCUCGGAAUUAUUGGGCGUAAAGCGCACGUAGGCGGUUCGUUAAGUUAGAUGUGAAAGCCCUGGGCUCAACUCAGGAAGUGCAUUUAAAACUGGCGAGCUUGAAUAUGGAAGAGGGUCGCGGAAUUCCCGGUGUAGAGGUGAAAUUCGUAGAUAUCGGGAGGAACACCAGUGGCGAAGGCGGCGACCUGGGCCA
rnacentral:rRNA from 1 species